CUCGGGUUGGGAGAUCCUGGUUGGCCUGGAGGGAAGAAGAUCAGAGGGAGGCCUGAAAAAGGACAUCAAAGAGACCACCUCACACAGGGUAGACUUCUCACACAAAGUCAGAAGGCAGAUGCGACACUCCAGCCUUACUCUCAAAGCCUCAAACCACCAUGUCCUUGAGGGACACGCUCAGAAGCCUGCCCGGGAGCCUGCCCUGUUAAACCUAAUGGCCACCUGGACAAUACCACUGACUGCCCAGCUCUCACACGGCAGAGCAUGAGCCCUCAGACCAGACAGCAGCCUUACCUCUCCUUUUGUGUGAUCUUCAGUUUUUUUUCCAACCGUCUGUCUAUUUCCUAGAGGAAAAAAAUGUAUAUAAAAAGUGGAAAAAAAUC